GCCUGCAGGUAUGUGGCAUCAAAAAUUGGGAGCCUGUGUGGCCACAGAGGUGAGGAGCCCCUUACCACCACGGCCCACCCAGCUGACCACAGCCAGAACCAAAAUGUAAACACGGUGGUAUCAGAAGCCCCUCCCCGAGUGACGGACGCAGUCACUAGGAACAAGAUGCUCGGCCCUGAACAGCCCUGUGGAUCCUGAGGGUAGAUGGCCUCAGGGCCCUCCUUGGAAGCCCUUGGCCUUCUUUCUCACUGACUCCGCGAGGGUCUUGGUCUGCUGGUGCUCCUGUUCCCCAGGGCUCGGAAAUGUGUGUUCACCAGUCAAUCCAUCUUGCAUUUACUCUCUAUACAUUUGUAUAACAGUAUGAAUUGUCCUUAUUAACCCCUUGCCACAAGGGUUUCCCAGCAUGAAAGACAAAUUAAGUCCGACACUCAGCAUCUGCUAGAACUGCUGCCUGCAAAACUCAUUCCAUGCUCUGUACAGGGGCCAGGGAGAAUAUGUUACCCUUCUCAAUGUAAUAACAAACCAAAGUCGUAUUCAAUAUGUAUAUAGGGCCAAAUACUGGUCUCAUGUAUACUGGUGUAACUUCAGAGUAACUUCACUGAAGUUAAUAGAGUCUGAUCCUCAUCUGGUAUAAAUUAGUAUUGCUCCAUUGAUUGGAGCUAUGCUGAUUUGCACCAGCUGAGGAUCUGGACCAGAGUAGCCCUGAGUUUACACUGGUGUAGCAGAGAACAGAAUCUGGCCUUCAGGGCUAAAAAUUGUCUCUAAAACGGUCAUAAAGCAGAGAAACUCCAUUGAUUUCAAUGAAGUUACUCUGGAUCUACACUGAAGUAAGAGAGAGCAGAAUUUGGCCCAUGGAGGGAAGAUACCCCCCUUGCAUGUGUGGAUGGAUCUGACCCUCGGUGAUCCGAUUUCCUUUCCUCUGGGAAGUUCUCCCUGUAUUGUCACAGUGAGCAAUGACGACAGAUUCACAAACUCCUUUGUGUGGAGAUGAACAAGUCCGAAUCCUUCCUGUGCUACAAACCCACAAUUCAACCAGCAAUAAAGACUAAAAUCAGAAUGAAA